UACAGAGGGUGCAAGCGUUAAUCGGAGUUACUGGGCGUAAAGGGCGCGUAGGCGGAUAUUUAAGUCGGAUGUGAAAUCCCUGGGCUUAACCUAGGAAUUGCAUUCGAUACUGAGUAUCUAGAGUAUGGUAGAGGAAAGUAGAAUUCUCGGUGUAGUGGUAAAAUACGUAGAUAUCGAGAGGAAUACCGGUGGCGAAGGCGACUUUCUGGACCAAUACUGACGCUGAGGCGCGAGAGCGUGGGGAGCAAACAGGAUUAGAUACCCUGGUAGUCCAUGCUGUAAACGAUGAGAACUAGAUGUUGUCUGGUUUUAUGCUAGGCAGUAUCGCAGCUAACGCAUUAAGUUCUCCGCCUGGGGAGUACGGUCGCAAGAUUAAA
rnacentral:rRNA from 1 species